rnacentral:ncRNA from 1 species
UGAAACGCGAUGAAGGAAGCUAGUAGCUUGAUGUACUUCAAAAGAGAGCCGGUGGUUGGUGCGAACCGGUGGAGAAGUCAUGUGAAUCCAUUCCGGAGCGGGAUGCUGAAAUAAGAGUAGGCAUUGACCGGCGCAGGCCGUUAAAACGUUGUUUUGAGAGGAAAGCAUGUUGUGCUUUCAAUCAGGGUGGUAACGCGGAAUAUAACUUCCGUCCCUUUU